UUCUAGUGCUGUAAAGUUAUCCGCCUGCUGUGACGACGGUGUCGUGUUUAUGACAUGUUCCUCCUCGGGGUCGUUGAUAACGGCAAAGAGAAGGAACGGGCGUCGUCUCGUUACCGUUUUCCGAUAAAACUAUAUAGGUGUAUAAC
ensembl:ncRNA F29F11.15 ncRNA